AACGUAGGAGGCGAGCGUUAUCCGGAUUUACUGGGCGUAAAGCGUGUGUAGGCGGUACGGCAAGUUGGAUGUGAAAGCUCCUGGCUUAACUAGGAGAGGUCGUUCAAAACUACCGAACUUGAGUUUAUCAGAGGAAGAUGGAAUUCCGGGUGUAGUGGUGAAAUGCGUAGAUAUCCGGAGGAACACCAGUGGCGAAAGCGGCCUCCUGGCCCAUUUCUGACGCUCAGACACGAAAGCUAAGGUAGCAAA
rnacentral:rRNA from 1 species